GCUGAACUGAUUUUGUUGCUUGGAGAGCCAAGUCGUUAAGGUCAAGGAGCCUCAGACCAGCAUCAUGGGCUUGGUUAAGAUCAAGGAGCAACUGUUCUUAUCAGUAGAGUUUAGAAGAGGAGGAAAGAAAGGAAGAGAGAAAAGCUAAGACCAAGAGAGCAUCUAUUCUAAACUGAACCAGGUAAAGCAAUAUAAGUAUCUAUAAAUAAAGGGCUAUAUCAUUUAAACCAAUGAUACUGUUAAUUACUAAGCAUGUAAAAGAAACAUCUGAUAUAACUAAAGCAAUAAAAGAAGUGUCACCACAUGCAACUACCAUGACUAUGUGAUGUGCAAUAUACAACUAAACCACUAAAAGAUGAUGUACUAAACAGAACAAGAAAUACCAGUACAUGGUAUUUAAAUAAAAACUAAUAUGUAUUGAAC
rnacentral:rRNA from 1 species